ACGCUCGACACCCACGGGAGGCAGCAGUGGGGAAUAUUGCACAAUGGGGGAAACCCUGAUGCAGCGACGCCGCGUGAAGGAAGAAGUAUCUCGGUAUGUAAACUUCUAUCAGCAGGGAAGAAAGUGACGGUACCUGACUAAGAAGCCCCGGCUAAUUACGUGCCAACAGCCGCGGUAAUCUGAGCGGGCUGGCAAGGC
rnacentral:rRNA from 1 species